UACGAAGGGGGCUAGCGUUGCUCAGAAUUAUUGGGCGUAAAGGGCUCGUAGGCGGUCCGUCACGUCGGGAGUGAAAACUUGGGGCUUAACCCCAAGCCUGCUUCCGAUACGGGCGGGCUAGAGUUCGGUAGGGGAGACUGGAAUUCCUGGUGUAGCGGUGAAAUGCGCAGAUAUCAGGAGGAACACCGGUGGCGAAGGCGGGUCUCUGGGCCGAUACUGACGCUGAGGAGCGAAAGCGUGGGGAGCGAACAGG
rnacentral:rRNA from 1 species